CCAUGCUGUACUGAAACCAUAUCUGGAGGGGAGAAGAGCUGUACGUUGUACUCACUGACCAGCUGUGGUUUGGUUGUUUUGGACUAAGUGUGUGCCCCUAAUACAAUCAACCAAAGUUGAACAUGGUAGAAAAUACGCCUAUGGGCGCAGAAAGUUUGACUUCCUGGAUUCCCGUGAUGCAUUGUGAGGAGAACAAGCCUGGGUAGCCGUUGGUCCAUGCGGGAUGAGAAACGUGGAGCAAACCUGAACCCCAUCUACAGCCUGGAACCUAGAGUCCAGCCUUAUCUAGUGGCAUCGCUAACUGACAACACCCAUGAACGAGAACUAAAUGCUGAAUGUUUUGAGUCAUUGAGUUUUGGAGUGGUUUGUCACCAUUACUGAAGCAUUGUUCUGGAUUAUGGGCCAUGGAGAUGGAAGGUACUGUUCCUGAUCUGAAGGAAUUCAUAUCAAGGAGCGAAGAAGGAAACAAAUAAUUAUGAUGCUCUUGACAGAAGUAAGUUUAAGGAACAUUCCUGCUGUGGCUGUGGUUUCUGCAUGGUGAUUGUAGCUUGUCUCAGGGAUCUCCACUAAUUAAAUGAGG
rnacentral:lncRNA from 1 species